AUGCAGCUGACGAGUCUCAAAUAGGAUGAAACACGCGUCCUGGAU
rnacentral:hammerhead_ribozyme from 1 species